GACGAACGCUGGCGGCGUGCUUAACACAUGCAAGUCGAACGGAAAGGCCCUGCUUUUGUGGGGUGCUCGAGUGGCGAACGGGUGAGUAACACGUGAGUAACCUGCCCUUGACUUUGGGAUAACUUCAGGAAACUGGGGCUAAUACCGGAUAGGAGCUCCUGCUGCAUGGUGGGGGUUGGAAAGUUUCGGCGGUUGGGGAUGGACUCGCGGCUUAUCAGCUUGUUGGUGGGGUAGUGGCUUACCAAGGCUUUGACGGGUAGCCGGCCUGAGAGGGUGACCGGCCACAUUGGGACUGGGAUGCGGCCCAGACUCCUACGGGAGGCAGCAGUGGGGAAUAUUGCACAAUGGGCGGAAGCCUGAUGCAGCAACACCGCGUGCGGGAUGACGGCCUGCGGGUUGUAAACCGCUUUCGCCUGUGACGAAGCGUGAGUGACGGUAAUGGGUAAAGAAGCACCGGCUAACUACAUG
rnacentral:rRNA from 1 species